AAAUAAAAUAAGACAAAAUGAAAAAUCCAAAAGUUAGAUAGGAACAGAAUUGAGAGACUGCUCAAAAGUCGUGGAGUUAACCAUGGCAAAGGAGAAUGAAAGCAGCCAACCACCUCACCUUAUAUGUUUAGCUAAUUCAACAAUGUAAAAAAGAGUAGACAAUUGUCUCUUUGCUGCCCAAUGACCCAUAUUUCUCCUUUCAUUGCCUUUAGAUUCUGCUAUACCAAGGUUGCAGGCAAAAGUAAAGGGACCAAAAACAAGUCCAAGUAUAUUAUAUAGGCAACGGAACAUUAUCAAGUUCGACGAAGAUUGACUACAGCAUUGACCAUUAUUGCUUGUUAGGUGUUGAGUUUUUCAAUGGGAUUCAGCAGAGAGUAACGGCAAGUGUAUCUUCAAAUUGAAUAGACCUAAAUAGCAGUGACAGAUAUCUCUACAAAAACAGUGGGAUUUUUCCCUAACUUCGAUUUCUCGAAAAAAAAAUUUAAUCCUAUUUUACAUAAAAUGAUCUCUUAAAAUCUUUGUUUAUUUGCUAUUACAUCUACAUUAACCUUCAUGUUGAAGAUGAAAAACUGCUACUUACUGAAGUUAGAUUUUACUCGUGCUUUGUGGUACGAUCCUAUAUACCACAUCAAGGGGUGGUUACUUAUUAAUGUUUGCUAAACCCCAGUCCAGUUCAUUUGUUCCCAUCCUAAGGGAGGUUCUUCGAGAUCGUUAACCAUCUCCCAAAUAUCAUCUUCAUUUGCUUCUGGUUGAUCAGAGUGGUCUCCUCCAGAGUGUGAAGUACUUGAGGAGCUUGUUACCUCCAUCAUAGAGGCUCUCUCUGAAAAUGUUGCAGUCCUAUUCUCAUGAAGUUGUGUUGCUCGUGAUACAGUUUCGAGUGGGCGUCUAUCGAAUGCUCGAAAGCUGCCUGAUACCACGUAGAUUCGACACAAACUGAAUUCGUGUCUCAACUGCAUUAAGAAUAUUUCAACAAAUGAUUAGAAAUGGGAGAAGUUCAUAUUGAACUUUUGAGCCUGAAGAACAGUAUGCAACUAUAUAAUGCUCACCAUCGGAGUCGUGGUAACAGCAGUCGGGUUGGGCACAGCUUCUAUAGCUCUAUACUCAUUCAUCUUCCAUUUGGUUUUCUUCCCAGAAGGAGCUUUCCCCUUAUAGAAAACCAUUGUUUUCUUCAUUCCGAUCACUCGGUCAUCGGAGGAGUAGACAUAGCUGGGAGACCCUGUUGCCUUCCAGUAGCCAGAAGCAGUAGUUCGGUUAGCUCUCCCACCUCGAGCUUCCCUCUCUUGUCUUGGUGUGAAGUAAAACCAUUGCUCAGUGUCUCGUCUACAACGCUCCCCCGCAAGCUCUGCGACAAAAGAAGGAACAUGUUAACUUACUAAACCAGUCAGUUUUAAGCAUGUUUAAGAUUGAAGAAUGUAAUGAGGAGUGAAGAAAGCAAUACGAGGAAGGUCCCAUGGCUCGACAUCGUAAAUGUUGAGAACAGGAAUAACACUGUGCAUCUCUUGUCUCCGGCCGUCUAACUGGUUGCGUAGGUAGAAGGAAACUAACUCUUCUUCUGUAGGAAAAAACCGAAAACCAGCUGGGAUCUCCAUUAGCUGUAAGUACGUUGUUCUUAGGGGUUUCUUCUUUUCUUUUUUUUUUUCUUUUUUUCUUUUAAUGUCCUUUGCUGUGCUAU